CGCUGCUGCUGCUUGUGCACUCUGCUGAACCAACAGUCUCUGGACCCAACGGUUCCCUCUCUCACAAGUAAAGCCUGGACUUCUUCAAGACAUCAGUGAACCCAACCCAGACCAGUACCUGAACCAGUUCAUGUCUUUGUGUGAAAACCUUUGUCAAUAAACUCUGUUAAACUUUUA